rnacentral:rRNA from 1 species
CCUACGGGUGGCAGCAGUGAGGAAUAUUGGUCAAUGGACGAGAGUCUGAACCAGCCAAGUAGCGUGAAGGAUGACUGCCCUAUGGGUUGUAAACUUCUUUUAUAUGGGAAUAAAAUGUUCCACGUGUGGGAUUUUGUAUGUACCAUAUGAAUAAGGCUCGGCUAACUCCGUGCCAGCAGCCGCGGUAAUACGGAGGAACCGAGCGUUAUCCGGUUUUAUUGGGUUUAAAGGGAGCGUAGGUGGUUAAUUAAGUCAGCGGUGAAAGUUUGUGGCUCAACCCUAAAAUUGCCGUUGAAACUGGUUGACUAGAGUAUAGUAGAGGUAGGCGGAAUGCGUGGUGUAGCGGUGAAAUGCAUAGAUAUCACGCAGAACUCCGAUUGCGAAGGCAGCUUACUGGACUGCAACUGACACUGAGGCUCGAAAGUGUGGGUAUCAAACAGGAUUAGAUACCCCUGUAGUC